rnacentral:rRNA from 1 species
GUUAGGAAUAUUGGACAAUGGGCGCAAGCCUGAUCCAGCCAUGCCGCGUGAACGAUGAAGGCCUUCGGGUUGUAAAGUUCUUUAGCCGAUGAUUAUAAUGACUGUAGUCGGAAAAUAAGCCCCGGCUAACUUCGUGCCAGCAGCCGCGGUAAUACGAAGGGAGCGAGCGUUAUUCGGAAUCACUGGGCGUAAAGCGUGCGUAGGCGGUCUCGUAAGUUAGGAGUGAAAGCCCAGGGCUCAACCUUGGAAUUGCUCUUAAUACUGCAAGGCUAGAAUCUCGGAGAGGAUAGCGGAAUUUCCAGUGUAGCAGUGAAAUGCGUAGAUAUUGGAAGGAACACCAGUGGCGUAAGCGGCUAUCUGGACGAGUAUUGACGCUGAGGCACGAAAGCGUGGGGAUCAAACAGGAUUAGAAACCCGAGUAGUCC